rnacentral:pre_miRNA from 1 species
AGGCGGAGACUUGGGCAAUUGCCGGCCAUCACAGAGGGCAUUGCACUUGUCUCGGUCUGA